rnacentral:tRNA from 2 species
GGGCUCGUGGUUUAGUGGUAUAAUACUCCCUUAGCACUCAAAACGUGGGAGUGGUCCGGGGUUCGAUUCCCCGCGAGUCCA